rnacentral:tRNA from 1 species
CGGGGCGUAGCGCAGUCUGGUAGCGCGUUUGCUUGGGGUGCAAAAGGUCACGAGUUCAAAUCUCGUCGCUCCUC